rnacentral:lncRNA from 1 species
CCAGAGCUGCUGGGCACCAGGUAAGCAUCCUCCCAAACUGGAUAUGAAAGGGGUUCCUGGCACAGCUACCUUUUAGGCACUAAUGGCUGGGUGAGGCUUGGCACACCACACUGCCAGAUUUGCAGCUUCGGCAAAUAAAUUGUGGGGCAGGUUGUUCAGAGGGCUGGAGGAGGUGGGAGGUCUGUGGGGUUGUGUUUGUAGGAUGGGAUGUCAGUUCUGUGUGUCUGGGAGCUGUGCUGGGAGAUGCUCCUGGACUUUCCCCCAGCUUUGAGUGGGGUCAGGACUUGUGAGACCAAACGUGGGGGUUGUUGGAGGUGAGAGCUGCUGUUUUCUAAUGGUACUGAGAGUGAUUUUAACAACGCCAGGUGAGGACAAACACUAUGAUAGGUACAAAAUAAUCGCCCUAGCCAAAAGGCACAAUAGCUCUGUGGUGCACACAAUGGAGAGGAAUUGAGAGUUCUUGGAUCAGUUUUUGACUUUGCCACAGACCUCCAGUGUUACUUUCAGGCAGUCACUAAAUCCCUGCGUCCACCAUCUGCGAAGCAGCCAGGCUUGGAACAGUUUGUGUCUCUGGAAGCAUGUAUCUAAUUCAGCUGUUAUUAUCAAAGCUAAAUAUUAAAGAACUGUUGUGUUAUCAUGGGCUAAAACCAUGACACACCAUUUUCACUGUGAACUUUGUUCUUUUGCUAUUACGUUUUGUUUACAUUACUUUUUUCAGGAAAAACAAUGUUUUCACUGCAUAUAAGUUAGGCAGAAAUUCAUGAUGCAUGCUGUGCAAGCUAGACUUGUAGAUUUGAUGUCUGACACUUAAAAUAAAGAUGCAUGUUAAAUGCCACUAGGAAGACUUCAGGGCUGGUUGUUCAAUAAAAUGAAGCACGAGUCUGGGCAUUGAAAGUAAACAAAUAAUAUAAGACUAUGUAGAGAUCAACCUUCCAAAGCUGUUUGGAAAGUUCCAUAACUUGGGUCUAACUGUGGGCACUUCUCAUCCCCUUGGUGACAGGCAUGCUGCUCUGAAUUUGUUGUUCAAACUUCCAUUAAUAUUCUGUGUCAGACAAGGAAAUAACUUAGGAUCAAUUGUCAAACAUGUUUCUUCAGAAAGGAACUAAAGAGCAAUCCUGAAAAAUAUCUCCUGGGAUGGAAAAAUUCUGAUCUUUGAGAAAACAGAGGAACUGCUGUGUGAGAGGAAAAAUGUCAAUUUAUUUGGAGGACAGGCUGGCAGUACUUCUCUCCAGAUGUACCAUUUGGCACAUUAAGCAAUUCUUUUCUUAGAAGGGGAACCUAUGUUUUUGCCAUGUAAUGCAAAACACCAAUGGAAUCACUACAUAAGCAAAAUGCCAGUAAUGGUACAGUGGUCCAGCCACAAACAUUGGUAAAGGACAGAAAAGGGGCAAGGACAUUCUUCACAUCCCUCUGCCACUGUCCACUGACUCUUUAUGUGUAUCUCAGUUUCUUCCACCAACCUGCAGCUUCCUACGGGAUGAGCAGCUGCCUUCCUCCUAGUCUUGUGGCCAAGGGAGGAAGAGGAGACUGGCCAGGGAAAUCACACAUUUCCUUGGCAGGGCUGGUCUUUCACUGGGGAAAGGUUGUCAGCCUGGGGAGAGAGCUGUGACAUCCUGCCCUGCCUGACCCCAACUUGGGUUCUCUUCAAUGCUUCUGUUUCUUACAACAAAUGUCCUGUAAUUCAAGCUUUGUGUAAGUGGGGUCAUGCUACUCUGCUCAGUAGAGUUUCUUUCUCCUUAAUAUGACAGGUGUUUAGUUUUUUUCCUACCAUUCACCAGAAAUCUCACCUUUAUUCUUCCCAUGUUAAAUAAGUCAGUUCUGUCCCCC